GAAAUCUUCAAACUCUCCUACAUUAGAAACCAUAGCUGAAGAAGGCGCAGAAGAUUAUGAUGAUGAUGACUCUUAAUGAACGGUGUACACCAUUUUCC